rnacentral:rRNA from 1 species
GAUCAUGGCUCAGGAUGAACGCUGGCGGCGUGCCUAACACAUGCAAGUCGAACGGAGUUACUUUGGUGAAGUUUUCGGAUGGAUCUGAUUUAACUUAGUGGCGGACGGGUGAGUAAUGCGUGAGCAACCUGCCCUUCAGAGGGGGACGAACAGUUGGAAACGACUGCUAAUACCGCAUAAUGUAUUCGGGAGGCAUCUCCUGGAUACCAAAGGAGAAAUCCGCUGAUGGAUGGGCU